rnacentral:rRNA from 1 species
GUGUCAGCAGCCGCGGUAAUACGUAGGCAGCGAGCGUUGUUCGGAGUUACUGGGCGUAAAGCGUGCGUAGGCGGUGGUCCAAGUCUGGUGUGAAAUCUCCCGGCUUAACUGGGAGGGUGCGCCGGAAACUGGGCCGCUGGAGUGUGGGAGAGGUAAGCGGAAUUCCUGGUGUAGCGGUGAAAUGCGUAGAUAUCAGGAGGAACACCUGUGGUGUAGACAGCUUACUGGACCAUGACUGACGCUGAGGCACGAAAGCGUGGGGAGCAAACAGGAUUAGAUACCCCCGUAGUCC